GAUGAACGCUAGCUACAGGCUUAACACAUGCAAGUCGAGGGGCAGCAUGAACUUAGCUUGCUAAGUUUGAUGGCGACCGGCGCACGGGUGAGUAACACGUAUCCAACCUGCCGAUGACUCGGGGAUAGCCUUUCGAAAGAAAGAUUAAUACCCGAUGGCAUAGUUCUUCCGCAUGGUAGAACUAUUAAAGAAUUUCGGUCAUCGAUGGGGAUGCGUUCCAUUAGGUUGUUGGCGGGGUAACGGCCCACCAAGCCUUCGAUGGAUAGGGGUUCUGAGAGGAAGGUCCCCCACAUUGGAACUGAGACACGGUCCAAACUCC
rnacentral:rRNA from 1 species